AUGGUGAAGCAGAUCGAGAGCAAGGAUGCUUUUCAGGAAGCAUUGGACGCUGCAGGAGAAAAACUUGUAGUAGUUGACUUCUCAGCCACGUGGUGUGGGCCUUGCAAAAUGAUCAAUCCUUUCUUUCAUUCCCUCUCUGAAAAGUAUUCCAACGUGGUGUUCCUUGAAGUAGAUGUGGAUGACUGUCAGGAUGUCGCUUCAGAGUGUGAAGUCAAGUGCAUGCCAACCUUCCAGUUUUUUAAAAAGGGACAAAAGGUGGGUGAAUUUUCUGGAGCUAAUAAGGAAAUGCUUGAAGCCACCAUUAAUGAAUUAAUCUAAUCAUGUUUUCUGAAAACACAGCCG